UUCCAUGACUUUGUAUAUAAAUGCACAAAAUGAAUUACUAGCCUCAAAUUUUCUGGAAACAGAAGCACUUUGGGGACUCGGAAAUGAUCUUGCCCAUGCUGGUAGACCUCAUGUCCUCAGACUCGUUGACAAAAGGACUGUAUUCUACAUAGAUGAGAAAGCAUGACACUUGUUUUCCUGAACCUGGCCUAUUUCACUCAAUGCGAUAGCUUCGAGUUCCAUCUGUGUUGCUAGAAAUGACAUGCUUUCAUUCCUUUUUGUGGCUUUCCCUCUGGCCUGUAAGCCAUCCAAAAGUAGGAUUCUCUUCUGCACGUUGCUUGGGACUUGAACAUGGCGCUCACCUCAGUGCUGGCUGGAUGGACUCAUUCUCUGAAGUUUUAGAAGCAUCUAUCUGAUACCUUUCCCCUGAAGCCAAGGAACUACACUGCUCUGUGUAAAACAACUUUCCUUAGUUGCUCAGUUUCAUUCAAGUAGUUUUGAUUAAGUGUCCGGGGGUCAUGAGUAAGGAAGACGCAGCCCUUCCGUGACAGGGACGCUGCCACAUGCCACGCUCAGCUCAGCUCACCCCAUGACCUUUCUCCUCCUUCUUCCGCCCUGGUUCACCCACCCCCAGACGGGCAGCAAUGUCAUCGCCAGCUUCAGAAGUUAGCAUUCAAAUGAAUACUUUUUAAUUUCUGUGUAUGAGAUGGGGCUCCGGGCUCUGGGACAAAGCUGAUGGAUGAUGUUUUAAUGCAGCUGAAAUGUUAUUUUUACUGAACCAGGGAAAACUAUAAAUCGUGCUUCAUUGCCACUGAUGGCUCUAUGCAUAAAACUAUGGGGGCGCCCAUCGGCCGUGAAUAAUCACCUCCGCGCGGCAGAUGUUACUUUUCGGGGAAAGCAAUUCUUAUGCCGAAGAAUUGUGGAAAGAUUAAUUGUCUACAGCUGUUUCAUGGCCCACAGCAAUCUUGAUACAUUUAUGAUAAGUUUAAGAGCUCACUGGAGGCAACUCCUAUUCCCUGUUGUGAGAAGCGGGUGGGGGAGAAGCCAGAGGCUUUAUUUUGACACCUGGAUUCAUAGAAUCUGUCAGCCCCAUUACGGCCUCCAUAGAAAUCUGGCAGUUGGCAGUUCUGAAAUGAUUGUGCGUGAGGUAAGAUGCAGGAAUUAUCCACACGCAGAUAAAGAAAAGGAGACUGAGAAGAAUUAUUCAAAUUUGUGCAAAUGAAUUGCUUCCAUUUUUCCUCCCUCUGCCAAGUGGAAAUUGAACGUGACCCACUCUGACCUUUGUCUAUUAAGUGCUGCAAAUUGCAGUAAAUGCACAGUUCUGAGUGCCCCUAAUGAGAUAGAGCCCCAGCAAUGCCUCAUUAAUAAGGGGAGUCUGACCUUACUGGUCAGCCCUUCAUUCGAUAUUGAAAAGGAAUAAGGAAAAAGAAGAGAUGACCCACGGUAAAUUUUGAACAAUACGUUUGAUUUAGUUUGCAUACACUCCAGGCCAGACUGCGUGGCCGCUCCCUCUCCUGUUUCUCUGCAGUCUGGCUAAGAGGAGGGAGCUGCGCUUACCUUUCAGGUGCCCGGGGAAGUGGUGGCAGGUGAGGGAGUUCUGGCCCAGUGAGUUCCAGGGUUCACCUGGGUGGAAAGGUUGUUGCCUUCUUCUCAGUCUCCCUGGCCAACAAGACCCACUGAGUUCUUGUCUUCUGCCCCUUUCCCUCCUUUUCUUUUUCCCUCCGCCCUUCCUUUUAAAUAAAGGAACUUCCCAGUUGUGAAAUGCACAGUGUGUGUGUCUACUGGGUUUGACCCUCUGAUUCUUCCUAAGGCUUUGUACACACCCAGGCUGAGAUACCUUUUCCCCCUCUGAUGUAAGGAAAUCCAGGGCAAGAAAUUACUCAGUCUGAUCAAGCACAGAAGGCGGCUGAUAGACCUGAAACUGGCACUCAGAAGUCCCAGGUCCUUUUUUUAAAGGCCUCACCAGCUACGAAUUUAGAUCUUUGGGCUUCCUAUAAACCACCGCUAAGCACACCUGUAUUCCCGUUCAAGGAACUUCCUGGUUACAGGAAAGCCUGAUGAACAACGCAGGAGACAGGUCUUAAAUGUAUUCAGUUCACAACUCCUAACAAAUGGAGAUUUGUCGGGGCUUGGAGAAGUCAUUUCAAAGUGAGGGGAAACAGCACCGGUGGACUCUUCAUGCUUGACAGGAUCUUAGACCCCACCUUCUCCAAACUUCUAGCCAAGGGAAGAAUCAGUUCUACCUGUGGGGAAAGGUGGGGAAAUUAUCUUGGAGUUGUACUGUUUCAUUAGCAGCAAUUCUAAUGAUGGAAAGAGGAGUGGUUCGUUUUUACUGACCAUAUUAUGUGGCCCAAUUUCAUGGGCCUUCACAUCCACACAGAGACAGUUGGCCCUGGGAUGGUGCUGUAUGAAUCUCUUUCAAGUCAUGGUUUGGACUCUCUGAAGAGAUGGGAGAAUCUCUGAAAAUCAUGACUGAAAUUGUUUGGG